UACGUAGGGUGCAAGCGUUAAUCGGAAUUACUGGGCGUAGAGCGUGCGCAGGCGGCUAUGCAAGACAGAUGUGAAAUCCCCGGGCUCAACCUGGGAACUGCAUUUGUGACUGCAUGGCUAGAGUACGGUAGAGGGGGAUGGAAUUCCGCGUGUAGCAGUGAAAUGCGUAGAUAUGCGGAGGAACACCGAUGGCGAAGGCAAUCCCCUGGACCUGUACUGACGCUCAUGCACGAAAGCGUGGGGAGCAAACAGG
rnacentral:rRNA from 1 species